CCUACGGGUGGCAGCAGUGGGGAAUAUUGCACAAUGGGGGAAACCCUGAUGCAGCGACGCCGCGUGAACGAAGAAGUCUUUCGGUCUGUAAAGCUCUAUCUGCAGGGAAGAAAAUUGCUGUACCUGAGUCAGACUCUCCUGCCAAAUACGUGCCAGCCGCCGCGGUAAUACGUAUGCAGCCCGCGUUAUCCGGAUUUACGGGGCGUAAGGGGAGCGUAGGGGGUCUGCCAGGUCUGAUGUGAAAUACCGGGGCGCAACGCCGGGGCUGCAUUGGAAACUGGCAGGCUGGAGUGCCGAAGAGGCAGGCGGAAUUCCUAGUGUAGCGGUGAAAUGCGUAGAUAUUAGGAGGAACACCAGUGGCGAAGGC
rnacentral:rRNA from 1 species